UGGGUUAUAGCUCAGUGGUAGAGCACUUGCCUCUCAAGUGUGAGGCACUGAGUUCAUCCUCAGCACCACAU
rnacentral:tRNA from 1 species